AGACAUGGUAUUACGCAUAUACAUGAAUAAAAAAUGUACAUUUCAAUAAAGUCAUAAGUAUUGUUAAUUUUUUCAAUCUCUCAUCUAAUUCUGAGCAACGUUUUACAUUUUUUUUCUUUAACAGCGACAACAUUCUGCAGUCCAUCAAAGCAGAAGAUAUUCUUACAGAUUCUGAGAUUAAGGACCUGGAAAAGAAGUUGCAGACUGGUGACAUUCUGUCAAACAGAAUGUACCUGUGGAAACACAAAGGCUUUGAUCCAGCCCUUAGAAGGUUAUACAGUGAGCAUGUCACCACUUUUGAUGACAUGAUGACAGAGGUUCUCAUCACACGGCUUGAAAACAUUCUGUAUGUCCCUGGCAGUGGAGAUGUUGACCAACACAUGGUCACAGAGGUGAUUCUGCCUGAGAUUGUCAUCCAGUGGCUGCAAAAUACCAAGCAGAGAUGAUGUUCAUAAAUACCGUGAAGAAAAAUGAGGGACUUUCGGAAGCCCAGGAAGAAGAAGACACAGAAAAGGGAAGCCCAUUCAUUGUCGAUAGUCAGGCUGCAGCUGACUGGUGCAGAGAACAACAAUUUAGUGGAAGAAUAACACUUCCUAUUGUUCUGGAUAUGGACGAGCUAGAACAAGCAGAAGCUCUCGAAGCCCUCAAGACAUGGG